UACAGAGGGUGCGAGCGUUGUUCGGAAUUAUUGGGCGUAAAGGGCGCGUAGGCGGCGCGACAAGUCACCUGUGAAAUCUCCGAGCUUAACUCGGAGCCUGCAGGCGAAACUGUCGUGCUGGAGUAUGGGAGAGGUGCGUGGAACUCCGGGUGGAGUGGUGAAAUGCGUAGAGAUCCGGAAGAACACCAAAGGCGAAGGCAGUGUCCUGGCUAGUACCUGACGCUAAGGAGCGAGAGCUAGGGGAGCGAACAGG
rnacentral:rRNA from 1 species